rnacentral:rRNA from 1 species
AGUGGGGGAUAUUGCACAAUGGAGGAAACUCUGAUGCAGCGACGCCGCGUGAGUGAAGAAGGCCUUCGGGUCGUAAAGCUCUGUCCUAGGGGAAGAUAAUGACGGUACCCUAGGAGGAAGCCCCGGCUAACUACGUGCCAGCAGCCGCGGUAAUACGUAGGGGGCGAGCGUUGUCCGGAAUUACUGGGCGUAAAGAGUUCGUAGGCGGUCUGAUAAGUCAGAUGUGAAAGGCGUAGGCUUAACCUAUGUAAGCAUAUGAAACUGUCAGACUUGAGGUAAGGAGAGGAAAGUGGAAUUCCUAGUGUAGCGGUGAAAUGCGUAGAUAUUAGGAGGAAUACCAGUGGCGAAGGCGACUUUCUGGACUUAAACUGACGCUGAGGAACGAAAGCGUGGGGAGCAAACAGGAUUAGAUACCCUGGUAGUCCACGCCGUAAACGAUGAGUGCUAGGUGUCGGGUAGAAAUAUUCGGUGCCGCAGCUAACGCAAUAAGCACUCCGCCUGGGGAGUACGUACGCAAGUAUGAAACUCAAAGGAAUUGACGGGGACCCGCACAAGCAGCGGAGCAUGUGGUUUAAUUCGAAGCAACGCGAAGAACCUUACCAGGGCUUGACAUGCCUCUGACGUUACUAGAGAUAGUAAUUUAUCCUUCGGGAUACAGGGGACACAGGUGGUGCAUGGUUGUCGUCAGCUCGUGUCGUGAGAUGUUGGGUUAAGUCCCGCAACGAGCGCAACCCUUGUAUUUAGUUGCCAGCAUUAAGUUGGGCACUCUAGAUAGACUGCCGUGGACAACACGGAGGAAGGUGGGGAUGACGUCAAAUCAUCAUGCCCUUUAUGUCCUGGGCUACACACGUGCUACAAUGGUCGGUACAACGAGCAGCAAGCUAGUGAUAGCAAGCGAAUCUCUAAAAGCCGAUCCCAGUUCGGAUUGUAGGCUGCAACUCGCCUACAUGAAGUCGGAGUUGCUAGUAAUCGCGAAUCAGCAUGUCGCGGUGAAUGCGUUCCCGGGUCUUGUACACACCGCCCGUCACACCAUGGGAGUUGUCAAUACCCGAAGCCAGUGAGCUAACCAGAAAUGGAGGCAGCUGUCGAAGGUAGGGGCAAUGACUGGGGUG